AUCAGCUUGUUUCCUUUGUUUUGCAAUCUCCAGAAACUCUUCAGUAAAUGCACGUUUAUACAUCAUCUUUGUCUGCUCCUUGGACUUUUGCUUGGGGUAAAUGCUGUUACACAGUCAUAAAUCUGAGGGCUGGCUUUAUGAAACCCAAAUUCUCUAAUCUGUUGAACCUGCACACUCCGUCUCUAAGGCUCUGCCCACUUUGCUCGGGGAUUCUGCUAGGGCAGUGGUGGUGAAACUUUGACACUUGCACUGCAGCAGACUGUCUCAUUAAAAGCUCUAAAAGGUUCGCCAUCACUGUGCCAGGUUCUCAGCCACCAACCAAGUCUAGAGGAAGGGAUGGGAGGGGUCUGAGUGGAUGAGAAGAAGCCUAAGUGGGCCAUUGUUCUGGGCCGGAUGGGGUUGGAAGUUGGUGGGAAGGUUGACAGAGAAGGCACAGUCACAACUGACCUGGUUUUGCAUCAACACGGACUGGGUCUGUCUGCACUGGCGGAGGGCACUCAGCCUCACUUGGGUAGAUGAGCUCCAAGGGUGUGAGAGACCAAGACCUCCAGCAGUGAGCUCUCCUCAGGAACUUUUUCUGGAAGACUCUCAGAGCUCCAGGGAGAAAUGUGGGGCUGACCUGAAUGGAUGUCAAAAGAGAAUCCCUGGCGGAUGGAAGUCUGGACAACAGAAAACCAAUCUGCAGUUACACAAUACAGAGAAGCAAAGUUGCUGCGAUGUGUGAUGUUACCCUCCUGUAAAUGACAGAAUCCUGUUCAGAGGCAGCACCCCGCAGGAGGAGUUAGCACCGCGCAGACGUGAUGCAGCAUUAUAACGAUGCCCUACUUACCAGUUCCUGUUUUUUAUGACUGAAUGGAUGCUUGGACCUGCUUGGGGCUAUAUAAAGGGUUUUCCUGCCCUUGCCACACUCAGCCUGUCUUUGCCAAGACAAUUCCCAGGAGGGACUUAUACCUGUGAACAGGAACUGACAAAGAAGCAACUCAGCCCAAAAGUUUCCCAGGCUCCUGGGCUGUAGUAUGACCACCCUGUGACUCAUUUGGAUAAAGUAGGGCUCAACAGAUAUUUAUCAAAUGAACAAAUGAAUGAGAGGGUGGGUGAAUGAGUGUUUCCAUGAGUGGGCAGCCACUCCCUCCGGGAAUGAGAGUGCUUCCUACUCCAGAAUGUUGAGUGCUUUCGAAGGAAGUCCUCUGGGGCUUUCCUGAUGAGUGCUCCAUGAAGAAGCCACAGUUGUCUCCUCAAUUCAUUGUGGGGAGUCUUAGAUUUCUUUGGAACCCUAAAUGCUAAACUUCCUACUGGUAUAUAAUAGCUGCUCAAUAAAUGUGUGUUGAUGCAUUGUUUCUCCGGUGUGAGAAACUGAAAGUGGAAAUAAAGACUAAAAUAAAUAAAUAAAUACAUACAUACAUACAUAAAUAUGUGUUGAAUUGAAGGGGGAGCUAGAAAGAGAAAGAAG
rnacentral:lncRNA from 1 species